rnacentral:lncRNA from 1 species
AUGUCUUCCUCUAAGGGUUUAUUGACUUUCAUGGAUGUGGCUAUAGAGUUCUCUAAGGAGGAGUGGGGAUGUCUGGAUUCUGCUCAGAGAGCUUUGUACAGAGAUGUCAUGUUGGAGAAUUACAAUAACCUGGUUUCUGUGGGUGUUGCUGUUUCAAAGUCAGAGGUAAACUUCUGUCUUGAACAAAAUAAUGAACCAUGGAUUGCUGGUAGAGAAGAUACAGAAAGAAAAAAACCAGCUCUGUCAUGUGAUUAUACCAAGAAGCUACUCCCCAAAGGACAUAUACAGGAUUACUUCCAGAACAAAAUAAUACGAAGAUUUGUAUGUAGUAGCCUUUUAGAUCUCUUUCGAAAGCAAUUUUGGGAAUAUAGACAUGAUAGAGCAGACUAUGAAAUAUAUGAUCAUGUAAAUGAUCAAUUUGAAACGCACAUCUUUUUCAUUUCUGAAAAUUAUCAAGAAGCCCUAAAUUCCCUUGAAAGGAGUCAGUCUGAGUCACUCUCAUAUUCACAACUGCAUGAUUCUCUAGGAAAAAGAUUCACAAGAUUUGAAGCACAACUCUAUUUUAUACGGAAAUACACAUGCAUUAAAGAUGACAUUUGGGUGAAUAAGUUGUGUUUCCUGACAUAUAUUUUACAGAUUAUGAGAUUAAACAGUGCUUCAGUGCUUUAUGAAAAAAUGAGAUUGUGGAUCAGAGAAAAACGUACUGAAUGUCAUCAAGGUGAAGGAAUCUUCUCUCAAAAUGUAUGGCAUUUCCCACAAUGUUUUGGGAAAUGCCAUACAUUUUGAGAGAAAAACCUACUCAGUGAUAAUUUAUACAAUGUAGAUCAACAUAAGAAAGAAUCUGUGAAUGCAAUGAAUCAUGGAAGAUAUAAUGUGGGAGGUAAUUUUAAAAGCUCUUAAACGAUAAUUGAUAUUUAUAUAGGCUUUGUUAAGAAUCCUUUACUAGUGUAUUACCUAAGCAAUCAAUAUAGAGAGAUAUUAUAUCAAGGUAAUGCUUUAUUAGAAGAUUCUAUUUGUAAAACUCAUCCAAGUGAAAAUCAGAUAAGCAGCUUUAUUCCAGAAUAUCAUUAUAGCAAGCAUAGAAAGAUGGCUAUCUCUAAUCACUACUCCCAAUCUUCUUCACAACAGCAUACUAAAGAGAAACGUUGUAUAAGUGAAAAUAAGAAUGCCUUUUUAAGUGAAUCUUCAAUUCAGAGCUGGUAUACUGGACCAUGGAUUAAUGGAGAGUCCAAGAGAUACCUCUAUGAUACAUACAGGGAUGUCUCAAAUGAAUCGUUAAAUUUCAAGAAAGCACAGAAAGUAAAUAAAUGUAAUAAGUAUGGUAAGUCAUUUAUAGAGUCCUCAAAUCUUCAAGCUUAUUAUAGAACUCCUACCCAAGAGACACCUUACAAAUGUAAUGAAUUUGAAAAAUUCUUUACCUGCUCCUCAAGUCUCAAAGUGAGCCAUGAAAACUGUACAGGAGAAAGACUUCAUAAAUCUAAUAACUGCGGAAAAUCAUUUUCACAGUCCUCAAAACUUCAAGUUCACUACAGAAUCCACACAGGAGAGAAACCUUACAAAUGUAAUGAAUGUGGCAAAUCUUUUACAAAGAACUCAAAACUUCAAAUUCACUACAGAAUCCACAAAGGAGAGAAACCUUACAAAUGUAAUGCAUGUGGGAAAUCUUUUACACAGAACUCAGAGCUUAAAGUUCACUACAGAAUCCAUACAGAAGAAAAGCCUUACAAAUGCAGUGAAUGUGGCAAAUCUUUUGCACAGAACAAAGUGCUAAAAGUUCACUACAGAAUUCAUACAGGAGAGAAACGUUACAAAUGUAAUGAAUGUGGCAAAUCUUUUACAAGGAACACAGACUUUAAAGUUCACUACAGAAUCCAUACAGGAGAAAAGCCUUACAAAUGUAAUGAAUGUGGCAAAUGUUUUACACAGAACAAAGUGCUUAAAAAUCACUACAGAAUUCAUACAGGAGAGAAACCUUACAAAUGUAAUGAAUGUGGCAAAUCUUUUACAAGGAACACAGACUUUAAAGUUCACUACAGAAACCAUACAGGAGAAAAGCCUUACAAAUGUAAUGAAUGUGGCAAAUGUUUUACACAGAACAAAGUGCUUAAAAAUCACUACAGAAUCCAUACAGGAGAGAAACCUUACAAAUGUAAUGAAUGUGGCAAAUGUUUUACACAGAACAAAGUGCUUAAAAAUCACUACAGAAUUCAUACAGGAGAGAAACCUUACAAAUGUAAUGAAUGUGGCAAAUCUUUUACACAAUCCUCAAAAUUUCAAGUUCACUACAAAAUCCACACAGGAGAGAAACCUUACAAAUGUAAUGAAUGUGGCAAAUCUUUUACAAGGAACACAGACUUUAAAGUUCAUUACAGAAUCCACACUGGAGAGAAACCUUACAAAUGUAAUGAAUGUGGCAAAUGUUUUACAAGGUACACAUACUUUAAAGUUCACUACAGAAUUCAUACAGGAGAGAAACCUUACAAAUGUAAUGAAUGUGGAAAAUCUUUUACAAGGAACACAGACUUUAAAGUUCACUACAGAAUCCAUACAGGAGAAAAGCCUUACAAAUGUAAUGAAUGUGGCAAAUGUUUUACACAGAACAAAGUGCUUAAAAAUCACUACAGAAUUCAUACAGGAGAGAAACCUUACAAAUGUAAUGAAUGUGGCAAAUCUUUUACACAAUCCUCAAAACUUCAAGUUCACUACAAAAUCCACACAGGAGAGAAACCUUACAAAUGCAAUGAAUGUGGCAAAUCUUUUACAAGGAACAGAGACUUUAAAAUUCAUUACAGAAUCCACACAGGAGAGAAACCUUACAAAUGUAAUGAAUGUGGCAAAUCUUUUGGACAGAACUUGGAGCUUAAGGUUCACUACAGAAUCCAUACAGGAGAAAAGCCUUACAAAUGUACUGAAUGUGGCAAAUCUUUUACACAGAACAAAGUGCUAAAAGUUCACUACAGAAUUCAUACAGGAGAGAAACCUUACAAAUGUAAUGAAUGUGGCAAAUCUUUUACACAGAACAAAUUGCUAGAAGUUCACUACAGAAUUCAUACAAGAGAGAAACCUUACAAAUGUAAUGAAUGUGGGAAAUCUUUUAUCAGGAACUCAAAACUUCAGGUUCACUACAGAAUCCAUACAGGAGAGAAACCAUACAAAUGUAAUGAGUGUGGGAAAUCUUUUACACAAUCCUCAAAUCUUCAAGUUCACUACAGAAUCCAUACAGGAGAUAAACCUUACAAAUGUAAUGAAUGUGGCAAAUCUUUUACACGUAACCAUUUGCUAAAAUUACACUACAGAAUUCAUACAUGAGAAAACCUUACAAAUAUAAUGAAUGUGGAAAAUCAUUUGCACAUAACACAGAGCUUAAAUAUCACUGCAGAAUUUAUACAGGAGAGAAACCUUACAAAUGUAAUGCAUGUAGCAAAUCUUUUACAAGGAACACAAAUUUUAAAGUUCACUACAGAAUCCAUACUGGAGAGAAACCUUACAAAUAUAAUGAGCAUGGGAAAUCUUUUAGAAAAUCCUCAAAUCUUCAAGUUCACUACAGAAUCCAUACAGGAGAGAAGCUUUACAUAUGUCAUGAAUAUGGGACAUCUUUUACAUAGAACACCGGGCUUAAAUUUCACUACUAAUUGAUACAGGAGAGAAACCUUAAAAAUAUAAUGAGUUUGGGAAAUCUUGUACACAAUUCUCCAAACUUCAAGUUCACUACAGAAUCCAUACAGGACAGAAGUCUUACUAAUUUAAUGAAUGUGACAAACGUUUUCAAGGAACAAAGAGCUUAAAGUUCACUAUAGAAUCCAUACAAGAGAGAACCCUUACAUUUUUUUUUUUGUUUGUGGCAAAUCUUUUACAUAGAACUCAGGGCUUUAAGUUCACCAAAGAAUCUACACAGGGAUCUAACCUUAUAAAUAUAAUGAAUGCUGCGAAACCUUUACACAACACUCAAAUCAUUAAGCUCAACAGAGAAUCCAUACUUCAGAGAAACCUUACAAAUGCAUUGGAGGUGGCAUAUCAAUUACUAACUCUCUAAAUCUUUAUGUUCACUACAGAAUCUACACAAGAUAUAAACCUUUUAAAUGUAGUCUGUGUGGCAAAUCUUUAUCCGGUCCUCUACUUUCCAAGUUCAUCAAAGAACCCAUACUGGAAAACAACCCUGUAAAUGUAGUGAUUAUGUGAAUUGCACUUCCCUACCCUCAAAUCUUCAAUAUCACCUCAGAAUAGAAACUAGAGACAACUUUAUUAAUGUAAAGAAUGUGAAAAAUCCUUGACAUGGAAAUAAUACCUUAAAAGAAAACCCAGCAUGUAUCCUGGAGAGAAACACUACAAAUAAAUAGGACAUGGCAAACCUUUUAGCACAACCUCAAAGCUUGGAGC